AUUGAACGCUGGCGGCAUGCCUUACACAUGCAAGUCGAACGGUAACAGGUCUUCGGAUGCUGACGAGUGGCGAACGGGUGAGUAAUACAUCGGAACGUGCCCGAGAGUGGGGGAUAACGAGGCGAAAGCUUUGCUAAUACCGCAUACGAUCUCAGGAUGAAAGCAGGGGACCGCAAGGCCUUGCGCUCAUGGAGCGGCCGAUGGCAGAUUAGGUAGUUGGUGGGAUAAAAGCUUACCAAGCCGACGAUCUGUAGCUGGUCUGAGAGGACGACCAGCCACACUGGGACUGAGACACGGCCCAGACUCCUACGGGAGGCAGCAGUGGGGAAUUUUGGACAAUGGGCGCAAGCCUGAUCCAGCCAUGCCGCGUGUCUGAAGAAGGCCUUCGGGUUGUAAAGGACUUUUGUCCGGGAGCAAAUGCUGGUGGCUAACAUCCACCGGAGCUGAGAGUACCGGAAGAAUAAGCACCGGCUAACUACGUGCCAGCAGCCGCCGUAAGAC
rnacentral:rRNA from 1 species